rnacentral:lncRNA from 1 species
GAGUCCCAGGUGGCUGACCCACGGUGGGCUUUAGACUAAGAUGGACUGAGACAGCCCUGAGUCUUGAACACACACACACUCUGCUAUCUUCAUCAACCAGGGCGCUUGCUGAUGCUUCUUCCCUCGCCUGUUUGUUAUGGGUUUCGCUCUUCCUGCUCCUGCCUUCCUGUACUUCUUCACUGCCUUUCCUAGAGUCAGACCUCAGGAGAUGGACCGGGACUUGGGAUGUCUGCAGCCCUGUAGUCCUGAGUCAACAUCUGCUAAGCUUGGCUUUGAGAUACCACUUUCUCGAACAUGCUGGCAGGCAUAAGCCUCUGGAAAGCCCCUGGGCUGCCCCUCCCCCAACACCUUUUUCUGCAUGAUUAAUUAGCUCAUAAGAUGGACUAUAUGGGAAGAAUUUUCAAGACUUUACAACUUUCUUUUUUUAAAAAAAUGUAUGCGACUUAGAGAACAAACUUGGUGGCGUGAACCCCCUUCCAUGUGUAU